GACGAACGCUGGCGGCGUGCCUAACACAUGCAAGUCGAACGGAGUUACCCUUCGGGGUAGCUUAGUGGCGAACGGGUGAGUAACGCGUGAAGAACCUGGCCUUUCAGUGGGGGACAACAGUUGGAAACGACUGCUAAUACCGGCAUAAUGUCAUUUGGGGGCAUCCCCGAAUGACCAAAGNUUUAUUGCUGAAAGAUGGCUUCGCGUCUGAUUAGCUAGUUGGUGAGGUAACGGCCCACCAAGGCGACGAUCAGUAGCCGGUCUGAGAGGAUGAACGGCCACAUUGGGACUGAGAUACGGCCCAGACUCCUACGGGAGGCAGCAGUGGGGAAUAUUGGGCAAUGGGGGAAACCCUGACCCAGCAACGCCGCGU
rnacentral:rRNA from 1 species